rnacentral:misc_RNA from 1 species
AACGCACAUGGCGCCCCCCGGUAUCCCGGGGGGCAUGCCUGUCCGAGCGUCGUUUCAACCCUCGGGCUCUUAGUAGCCCGGCGUUGGGGACCUACGCGCCGACGUAGGCCCCGAAAAGCAGUGGCGGACCCGUGCCGGCCCCCCCUUUGCGUAGUAGCAUUAGCCUCGCAUCGGAAGCCCGCGGGAUCUCCGGCCUCUAAACCCCACUAAAGCCCGCUCCGGCGGCACCAAGGUUGACCUCGGAUCAGGUAGGAAUACCCGCUGAACUUAA